UUGCAGGUGUCAUUGCCAAGAUGUCACACAAGCCAAGACACAUCUCAUGAUGGGUAAAAGCAAAGAGCCGUCUAUAGACCUUUACAACCUAAUUGUUGCAAAACAUAGUGAUGGAGUUACAGGCGCAUUUCUGAAGUUCCAGUGAGCACUGUUGGGACCAUAAUACAAAAGUGGAAACACAGUCAUUUCAGCAUUACUUUGCCCAGACCAGUUGCUUCUUGUAAGAUUUUUACAGGAGGAGUAAAAAGAAUAAUCAGAACAGUCCAAGAGCCUAAGUCCACUUGUGGCGAGGUAAUAUAUAUAUUAGGAUUAUCUAUCAUAAAACAUUUCAUUUUGACUAUUGUUCAUAUCGGCCUGUUGUAACCUUAAGCUUAUAUAAUUUUUGACUCUUUCUUCAAAUACUGUAUUUGGUUUUACCAGGUGAAUCAUUGAAGGAUACUUUAGUCAGAUAGUAUGAGACCUUGUACCCCAUGUAACAGAACUGUAGCUCUUUGCAGAAUGAGAAGACACCAGAAAUGAAGUAUGUCAAAGUUCAGUGACACCACAAAGCAUACACUAGCUACAGAGAUUGGCUACUCAUUGCUGUCGCUCUGCUGAUGGGUCCUAACAUGCGCAGCACUUCUCUACCAAACCAAGCUCUGCCGCACCUAUAAAGAGACUCCUCGGUUUCUUUCGUUUUUUAAGCCUCCUUAGUAGUCUUUAAUAUUUCUGCUUCACUUUGUCCUUCACACAUCUAAAUAUAUAAUUUUAUAUGGAACUUCUUAUGCAUAAGCUCUUUGUUUAAGGUAAUUGCCAAGUAAUGUAUUUUUGUACCAGUCCAAUGUGUUCUUAUCAGUACUUAUUAAUAUCUUGGAGAAGUCCACCCUACUUCAAGUGGUUAAGGGUGAUGGACCAGGGUCGUCUUAGACUAAAUUACUACUUUUAGUUCUAUGGUUUACCUCAGCAGAACAGAGGAGCCACAGCAAAGUACAGGAAGGCCUGUUACAGGGUCAUUGUAAGAAAUAUGAAAUCUCUGCCAACCUGGAGAAAACUAGCAUAUUUUUCCCAAAAUCAAUGGCACUGCAAAGUUGCACAAGUGUAUAAUUUAUACAAAAUAAUAAUAAUAAAAAAAAAACACACCACACACAGCCAUGUUAGAGCAAAGAAAGUGCAUAUCCGUGUAUUUAUAUAACCCUGUAUACAUUUUCAGGGUGGGGAUACAGAGUUUUCAAGCUCUUUUUAACAAGAUAAUAAUUUAAAGUUGCAUUAUCACAGUAAAAAGUAUAUAUCACCAAUGUUCUGUGAAUCCCUGUGUACUAGUUAUGCUUUCAUUGUCAGAUAAUCUGCAUAUUGCUGCAUUUCAGAUUCCUGCCAGCACACAGAUAAAAACAUUGCUUAAAAAUAAUGUAUUUUAGGAUGAUGCCACCCAAGCCUACCUAUUGGUUACGCUUGUGACAUGGAUUUGGUGUUUAGCUCCAGCCUCGUAGGUGGCCCUUAUCUCCAUUAACUGAUGUAAACCUCAUGUCUGCUAUACAAGUCAGAAGUAUACUUACCAAGCUCACAAUUUAUUUUGUAGUACUGCAUCUUAUGAAAAUUAACAACAAUUAGAAUGGAAUUUACUAAGCCGCCAAGUUAACCGACUGACUCAAAUGGCAUCUGACAAAAUAUAUGACUAUGUCAUAUAGGGGUUAUAAGCUCAUAGAAGGUCUACAGAUGUAGUCAUCUUCCAUAGGAAAUGUCAAGCCUUAAGGUUAACUUAGGACUAACAAUCAAUCAAACUUCCUGUUUAGUGAUCACUUGAUUAUAAUUAACUUCAACACAUCUCCGGUAAGAUUCCAUACAGCAUUGCAUAUAUUGUUAGACAUAGUCUGAAAUAUAGAAGAAAGAAAAAAAUAAUGUCCCACUCCAAUAAAAAAACAAAAAAUAAAAU